AAAAUGGAGCUGGGGGGUUCCCUGGUCCCCGAUGUUGGGGCGGGGAGCGCGGCGCCGAGGGAGGGGGCGGCGCAGACCAGCCAAGGGGACACCUGGUCGAGCGCAGCCGCCGCUCCGCUCGAGCCCUGCGCUCCAGUGCCCCCAGUGCCCCCACUGGCUGGAGAGCUCGCCCAGACCGGGGGUCUUCCUCCCUCGCUGACAGAUUCUAACUGUUAGAAGAGUACCAAUUCUGGAAAACAACCAAAGUUUCUUUGAAUGAAUGCCCACGUAAUGCAUUGGAAUAUAAUAAGAGAUUAAGGUUUAACAAUGUUAAAAUGAAGAUAUUACUAAAAUGGCCCUCUAAAUAGCCCAACAAUUAUUAUUUUCAUUAUCCUAUGAAUUUGGCUUUGAAAGGUGUGCUGCUCUUAAUAAGGUCUUCACACUACUCAGUACUGUGUUAGAAAUAAGGAAUGUGAUAAAGAAUGCCUGUAAGACACCGACUGACAUUUACCAACUGUGUCAAAGCUACAUGAGCUAGGUAGAUACUGCUGGAACUUUAACAGGCAUCAAGCAAGUCUAUAGAAGCACUGAGCUGUGCCACUACCCAGUGUUCUUCCAGAACACACAAACUGAAGGGGGCUGGAGCCUUCCAAUGAGAACUGUUGUGUGAUUAAUCAAUGAGGCUGACUAAAGCACACACCUAUAAUCCCAGUACUCAGAGAGACAAAGAAGGA
rnacentral:lncRNA from 1 species